rnacentral:rRNA from 1 species
UUACACAUGCAAGUCGAGCGGUAACAUUUCUAGCUUGCUAGAAGAUGACGAGCGGCGGACGGGUGAGUAACGCGUAGGAAUCUGCCUAGUAGUGGGGGACAACAUGUGGAAACGCAUGCUAAUACCGCAUACGCCCUACGGGGGAAAGGAGGGGAUCUUCGGACCUUUCGCUAUUAGAUGAGCCUGCGUGAGAUUAGCUAGUUGGUGGGGUAAAGGCUCACCAAGGCGACGAUCUCUAGCUGGUCUGAGAGGAUGAUCAGCCACACUGGGACUGAGACACGGCCCAGACUCCUACGGGAGGCAGCAGUGGGGAAUAUUGGACAAUGGGCGCAAGCCUGAUCCAGCCAUGCCGCGUGUGUGAAGAAGGCCUUAGGGUUGUAAAGCACUUUCAGGAGUGAGGAAGGGUGAUUGGUUAAUACCCAAUUAUUUUGACGUUAACUCCAGAAGAAGCACCGGCUAACUCUGUGCCAGCAGCCGCGGUAAUACAGAGGGUGCGAGCGUUAAUCGGAAUUACUGGGCGUAAAGCGCGCGUAGGCGGUUUGUUAAGUCGGAUGUGAAAUCCCAGGGCUCAACCUUGGAAUGGCACCCGAUACUGG